UACGGGGGGGGUAAGCGUUGUUCGGAAUUACUGGGCGUAAAGGGCUCGUAGGCGGCCAACUAAGUCAUACGUGAAAUCCCUCAGCUUAACUGGGGAACUGCGUGUGAUACUGGAUGGCUUGGAUUUGGGAGAGGGAUGCGGAAUUCCAGGUGUAGCGGUGAAAUGCGUAGAUAUCUGGAGGAACACCGGUGGCGAAAGCGGCUUCCUGGCCCGACACUGACGCUCAUGUACGAAAGCGUGGGGAGCAAACAGG
rnacentral:rRNA from 1 species